rnacentral:rRNA from 1 species
GACGAACGCUGGCGGCGUGCUUAACACAUGCAAGUCGAACGGUAAGGCCCUUCGGGGUACACGAGUGGCGAACGGGUGAGUAACAUGUGGGUGAUCUGCCCUGCACUUCGGGAUAAGCCUGGGAAACUGGGUCUAAUACCGGAUAGGACUCCGGACUGCAUGGUCUGGGGUGGAAAGCUUUUGCGGUGUGGGAUGGGCCCGCGGCCUAUCAGCUUGUUGGUGGGGUGAUGGCCUACCAAGGCGACGACGGGUAGCCGGCCGGAGAGGGUGACCGGCCACACUGGGACUGAGAUACGGCCCAGACUCCUACGGGAGGCAGCAGUGGGGAAUAUUGCACAAUGGGCGCAAGCCUGAUGCAGCGACGCCGCGUGAGGGAUGACGGCCUUCGGGUUGUAAACCUCUUUCAGCAUCGACGAAGCGAAAGUGACGGUAGGUGCAGAAGAAGGACCGGCCAACUACGUGCCAGCAGCAGCCGCGG